UAGAAGAUCCAAGAGCUAAAUAUCUGAAAAAAUCAAAAUGGCUGAAAAUUGAAAACACAACACUGUUUCAUUGGGCUUUUCUGAUUUCUGAAAGCUUUCAUUUCCUGAAAUAAUUCUCUGAAUAGCUUGAAGUGGAAAUGGAUUACAUAGAGUGUGAUUUUGGGUGUUUUUUUGGAAGGGGUUUUGGUUUGGAUUUUGGGCUGGAUGUCACUGUUUCGUUUAAUUCUUCAAUUGCAUUCCUGAAAUGGUUUUAAGAGCUAUCUAAGUUGUGCUAAAUAGAGGCUAGCAUUUAAAAGCUGGUUUGAAGUUUGGAUUGGGAUCCAUUUGUGGUUUGAAAGCUGUGAUUUACUUGGUUCAUUUCUGCUGCUGGAAACUGUUGUUACUGCUGAAUCUUACCCUCUUUACUCUCAUUUCCAGGUGCAGCGAUUGUGGAAGAAAGCAGUGACGAAGACCUUACUUGAGUGUUGUUGAUCGUUGUUAAACUUUCUAUCAUCAUGUUCAAAGAUAUUUUAGUUUAGAACUUUUUGUAUGCAAACUCAUCUAUUUUGACUUUUGAAUUGUUGAUCAAACAAUGUAUUCACAUUUUGUUUUUGUAUAUGAGUAAUGCUAGUUGAAUAUUUUAA